rnacentral:rRNA from 1 species
GCGCUUUAACUAGCGCGGCGACCAAACCUUACACACAGUGCUUAGUUUUUUCUAACAUUGCUUUGGGUUGAGCUCCGGCUUAGCCCAGAGGUUAUCAAAACACAAGAUUUUAUUAUCUUUUCUACAAACCUUUAGUCAAGAAGUUUUCUUAAAAACAAAUCUUCAAAACUUUCAACAACGGAUCUCUUGGUUCUCGCAACGAUGAAGAACGCAGCGAAAUGCGAUACGUAAUGUGAAUUGCAGGUUUUCGUGAAUCAUCGAAUCUUUGAACGCAUAUUGCGCCCUCUGGUAUUCCGGAGGGCAUGCCUGUUUGAGCGUCAUUUCUCUCUCAAACCCUCGGGUUUGGUAUUGAGUGAUACUCUCUUUCUGGGUUAACUUGAAAUACUGUUGGCAAGAGCUGCUUCAGCAGAUCUCCUACUGAACUAACGUUUCUAGGUUCUACCAAUUCGUUGUGUUUAGAAGGGCAUGUCUCUCUAGCUCUAGGCUCGGCCUAACAAUUUCUCAUAAAUUUGACCUCAAAUCAGGUAGGACUACCCGC